UAACUCCGUGCCAGCAGCCGCGGUAAUACGGAGGAUGCGAGCGUUAUCCGGAUUUAUUGGGUUUAAAGGGUGCGUAGGCGGCCUGUUAAGUCAGCGGUGAAAUCUAGGAGCUUAACUCCUAAAUUGCCAUUGAUACUGGCGGGCUUGAGUGUAGAUGAGGUAGGCGGAAUGCGUGGUGUAGCGGUGGAAUGCAUAGAUAUCACGCAGAACUCCGAUUGCGAAGGCAGCUUACUAAGGUACAACUGACGCUGAAGCACGAAAGCGUGGGUAUCAAACAGGAUUAGAUACCCUGGUAGUCCACGCAGUAAACGAUGAUAACUGGGCGUAUGCGAUAUACAGUAUGCUCCUAAGCGAAAGCGUUAAGUUAUCCACCUGGGGAGUACGCCGGCAACGGUGAAACUCAAAGGAAUUGACGGGGGCCCGCACAAGCGGAGGAACAUGUGGUUUAAUUCGAUGAUACGCGAGGAACCUUACCCGGGCUUGAAUUGCAGAGGAAGGAUUUAGAGAUAAUGACGCCCUUCGGGGUCUCUGUGAAGGUGCUGCAUGGUUGUCGUCAGCUCGUGCCGUGAGGUGUCGGCUUAAGUGCCAUAACGAGCGCAACCCCUGUCUACGGUUGCCAUCAGGUGAUGCUGGGAACUCCGUAGAGACUGCCGUCGUAAGGCGUGAGGAAGGUGGGGAUGACGUCAAAUCAGCACGGCCCUUACAUCCGGGGCGACACACGUGUUACAAUGGUAAGGACAAAGGGCAGCUACCUGGCGACAGGAUGCGAAUCUCUAAACCUUAUCACAGUUCGGAUCGGAGUCUGCAACUCGACUCCGUGAAGCUGGAUUCGCUAGUAAUCGCGCAUCAGCCAUGGCGCGGUGAAUACGUUCCCGGGCCUUGUACACACCGCCCGUCAAGCCAUGGGAGUCUGGAGUACCUAAAGUCCGUAACCGCGAGGGUCGGCCUAGGGUAAUACAGGUGACUGGGGCUAAGUCGUAACAAGGUAGCCGUACCGGAAGGUGCGGCUG
rnacentral:rRNA from 1 species